rnacentral:rRNA from 1 species
UACGUAGGGUGCGAGCGUUAAUCGGGAUUACUGGGCGUAAAGCGUGCGUAGGCGGUUCGUUAUGUGUGGUGUGAAAGCCCCGGGCUUAACCUGGGAAUGGCAGUGGAAACUGGCGGGCUUGAGUGUGGCAGAGGGGGGUGGAAUUCCGCGUGUAGCAGUGAAAUGCGUAGAGAUGCGGAGGAACACCGAUGGCGAAGGCAGCCCCCUGGGCUGACACUGACUCUGAGGCACGAAAGCUAGGGGAGCGAAAGGC